rnacentral:siRNA from 1 species
ACACUGCAGUCUUUGGUCAGAUGC